GUUUCCUAUGAUACGAAAAUAGCAAGCGUCAGUAUUAUUAUACAAUACAUACAUAAAAGAUAAACUUAACAAUAGUAGAGGAUAUCUUUACUUCCUGUCCUAUUUGAACAGUGAUGUCAUAUAGCAAGAAGUAUUGUGUUAAAAAUACACAAAACGCAUGCACACAUUGAGAAUGAAUAAAAGGAUUAUUAAUAAAUAGAUCUUAUCAAAAUUAUUACAAAACAUG
rnacentral:lncRNA from 1 species